rnacentral:rRNA from 1 species
CAGUAGCCGCGGUAAUACGUAGGGUGCAAGCGUUAUCCGGAAUUAUUGGGCGUAAAGAGCUCGUAGGCGGUUUGUCGCGUCUGCUGUGAAAACUGGAGGCUCAACCUCCAGCCUGCAGUGGGUACGGGCAGACUAGAGUGCGGUAGGGGAGAUUGGAAUUCCUGGUGUAGCGGUGGAAUGCGCAGAUAUCAGGAGGAACACCGAUGGCGAAGGCAGAUCUCUGGGCCGUGACUGACGCUGAGGAGCGAAAGCGUGGGGAGCGAACAGGAUUAGAUACCACUGUAGUCCCUGUCUCUUAUAC